GAUGCGAGCGUUAUCCGGAUUUAUUGGGUGUAAAGGGAGCGUAGACGGAAUUGCAAGUCUGAUGUGAAAAUCCGGGGCUCAACCCCGGGACUGCAUUGGAAACUACCGAACUAGAGUGUCGGAGAGGUAAGUGGAAUUCCUAGUGUAGCGGUGAAAUGCGUAGAUAUUAGGAGGAACACCAGUGGCGAAGGCGGCUUACUGGACGAUAACUGACGCUGAGGCUCGAAAGCGUGGGGAGCAAAC
rnacentral:rRNA from 1 species